rnacentral:misc_RNA from 1 species
UCCUGGAUUUUGGGUCUC